UACGGAGGAUGCGAGCGUUAUCCGGAUUUAUUGGGUUUAAAGGGUGCGUAGGCGGCUUUUAAGUUCAGCGGUGAAAUUUUGCAGCUUAACUGUAACAGUGCCGUUGAUACUGGGGAGCUAGGAUUUGGUUGCUGUGGGUGGAAUGUGUGGUGUAGCGGUGAAAUGCUUAGAGAUCACACAGAAUAUCGAUUGCGAAGGCAGCUCACAAAGCCAAGAUUGACGCUGAGGCACGAAAGUGUGUGGAUCAAACAGGA
rnacentral:rRNA from 1 species